UUCUGUUGUCCCUUUCAUUCAUCUCCUUCCCCAAGAAGAAAGGCCGGCGACGCCAUGGCCGAGACGGCGUGGGAGCUCGCCGAACUAUUCGUCCUCCGCCCGUCCUCGCCAUCUUCUUCGCCCUCUCAUUCAUCCUCCUGAGAGCUGGUACGUCGCGUGGAGGACGGUGCUGGUGCACGUCCCGCUCGUGCAGGAGGUCACCGGACUACGCCGGAACAAGAAGCCUGCCAAGCCCAAGCCCCCCAACCGCGGCCGCAUCGGCAGGUUCUCUUCUACCAGUCGCAGGCAGAAGCGCAGAGGUGAACGAAGUAACCAAGAUUAGAUUUCUCGGAUGUCCCCCAAGGGGCCUAACCAAGAUUUUUAUUCCGCUUCUGUUCCAGUUCAAGAGUGAGUAUCUCAGAAAAAAAGAGUGAGUAUCUGAUCUGCUGGGAUUUGGAUGCACUUGGUCUAUCCAACAAAGUGGCUUCGGUUAAGUGACAAAUAUGAUGUUAUGAUUAGCUGCCGCUGGUUGUUUCA